rnacentral:sRNA from 1 species
CCAUAGCCCCGAUAGUAGCGGCAUCCUUUUUCUUUUUUUGCAAAAAAGGAAAAGAUACAGCGGAUAGCGGGAUCAAGC